AUGAUUUCUUCAGUGGUCUUCAUGAGCUGUAGCCUUUCAGGACACAUUUGGGAAAAUCAGUUCUGUUCUGUGAAUUUUGGGAUGAGCAGCAAACUCUAAGACAUCUGGAAGAGAAGGGGACCAGGGCUUGCAGAGAUAACACCAGGCCUUGCACUUUUUACCUGUACCCAGAGCUGCCAACAAGAAAAGGAAUAGCUGUGAUUAUCUGCCCCCACCCCCAGCUCUCUCUC